CCCUACGGGGCGCAGCAGGCGCGAAAACUUUACAAUGCGGGAAAUCGUGAUAAGGGAACCCCGAGUGCCCGUAAAUUCGGGCUGUUAAUCUGUGUAAAAAGCAGGUGGAGAAAGGGCCGGGCAAGACCGGUGCCAGCCGCCGCGGUAAUACCGGCGGCUCGAGUGGUGGCCACUAUUACUGGGCUUAAAGCGUCCGUAGCUGGAUUGUUAAGUCUCUUGGGAAAUCUACCGGCUUAACCGAUAGGCGUUCAAGGGAUACUGGCAAUCUAGGGACCGGGAGAGGUGAGAGGUACUCCAGGGGUAGGAGUGAAAUCCUGUAAUCC
rnacentral:rRNA from 1 species